rnacentral:SRP_RNA from 1 species
UGCCGGGUCCUACGCGACGUAAUCCCGCCAACCCCGCCAGGUCCGGAAGGAAGCAACGGUAACGAGCUCUUGCGUGCGCAGUGGGUUCCCGGUGCCU